GCGCCCGUAGCUCAGCUGGAUAGAGCAUCGGCCUUCUAAGCCGAGGGUCGUGGGUUCGAGUCCCGCCGGGCGUA
rnacentral:tRNA from 1 species